rnacentral:lncRNA from 1 species
UCGCUGGCCUUUAUCUCUGUUUCACGUCCAGGACCCCACGCCCUGUCGGCGCUGCUUGGGCUACGGUCACUGUCCACCCGGGGCCCACGGAAACGCGGUCUCUGUCCCCCACCGCCGCUUGCCUUGGGAACGCGGCCCGAAGCCCAGGACCUGGUAGAUGGGCGCAGGCGGGCGGUCGGCCGUGUCCUCGCCGCGGGUCACCAUCGCCUCGCGCACGGCCGCCAGCCCAUUGAGCACGACCACCGGCGUCCAGGCCAGCUGCAGGCUGAACACGUCCCCGAAGCGGCGCCGCAACUGCAGAGGGAGGGUCAGGGCCUCUUGUCAAGCCAGGAUCACCCCAGACUACAGGUAUGACCUUGCAAGAGUCACCAAAAUUGCCGAGAGGCCCCAGUUAGCAUCCCAUUCCCAGAUGAUGGUCCAUGCCGGUGAGCAGUGAGGCCCGAGGACCCACAGUGCAAAAGGUUUGAACCGGGUCACUGCACCCCCUUCAUCCUCGAUUUCGUGAUUUAAACGGCACUCAGGACUAACUCAUCUUCCAUUCCCAAGGCCUUUCCUUCUGGUGUCAGCAGAAGGGACUUUGUACUCCAUAACAUAUGUUGCCCAAUGGGCUUGCAUGCCCACUGCCAAGUCCAGCUCCACCUCCAGGCCCUUGCCCUACUCUUCCUUGGCCUUUGGAAAAUCCAGUCCUUCAUGCCAUGUAUAAAUGUCCUUCCCCAGGACGUCCCCCAAACCUGCUUCCCCUUCUCAGCCUGGCUUCUGAUCCAGCCUGUGGUUUAACCCACCACCCAUGUUUGCUGGUGGUGGGGCAUCCUCAGGACCUCUGCCGCCCUCCAGGACCUCCUCCCUCACCUGGUCGAAGCAGUAUGGUGUGUUCUGGAAGUCCACAUGCAGCAAGGUUGCCCAGCCCGGGCAGUGGCAGGGGACCUGGCGGGUAGCGUGCAGCCCAGCGUUGGUGCCGGUGCAUCAGGUCCACCAGGAGCAGGAAGAUGGCCACUAUCAUGGCCAGGGGCACCAGUGCUUCUAGCCCCAUGGCUGCCUCACUACCAACUGGGCUCCUCUGGACACA